rnacentral:tRNA from 3 species
UAGGUCAGUAGCUCAAUUGGCAGAGCGACGGUCUCCAAAACCGUAGGUUGGGGGUUCGAUUCCCUCCUGACCUGCCAG